rfam:Flavobacterium plurextorum strain CCTG 60112 WGS0045_contig_51, whole genome shotgun sequence.
GUCUAGCCCUGAUGGAAGCGACAUCCUUUUAUGGUGGGGUUCACCAUAAAAGAUACAGCGGACAGCAGGAAUAGCU